rnacentral:rRNA from 1 species
UGAGGAAUAUUGCUCAAUGGACGAAAGUCUGAAGCAGCAACGCCGCGUGAGGGAUGAAGGUGCUCUGCAUUGUAAACCUCUGUAGUUGGGGACAAACUUCGAGUUACUACUCGAUUGAUGGUACCCAAAAAGUAAGGAUCGGCUAACUACGUGCCAGCAGCCGCGGUAAUACGUAGGAUCCAAGCGUUGUCCGGAUUUACUGGGUGUAAAGGGUGCGCAGGCGGACUGUUAAGUCAGAGGUGAAAUCUCACAGCUCAACUGUGAAACUGCCUUUGAUACUGACAGUCUUGAAUUAGCGAGAGAUUCGUGGAAUUCCGAGUGUAGCAGUGAAAUGUGUAGAUAUUCGGAAGAACACCAGUGGCGAAGGCAGCGAAUUGGCGCUAUAUUGACGCUCAGGCACGAAAGCAUGGGGAUCAAACAGGAUUAGAUACCCCCGUAGUCC